rnacentral:rRNA from 1 species
CCUUUGUACACACCGCCCGUCGCUACUACCGAUUGAAUGGCUCAGUGAGGCUUUCGGACCGGCCCAGGGAGAGUGGCAACACUCACCCAGGGCUGGAAAGUUGUACAAACUUGGUCAUUUAGAGG